rnacentral:rRNA from 1 species
ACUGGGCUCUUUCGAGGCCGGUAAUUGGAAUGAGAACAGUCGUAAACUCCUUGAACGAGGAUCCAUUGGAGGGCAAGUCUGAUGCCAGCAGCCGCGGUAAUUCCAGCUCCAAUAGCGUAUAUUUAAGUUGUUGCAGUUAAAAAGCUCGUAGUUGGAUUUUGGGUGGGAGGGGUUGGUCCGCUCUUGUGGGCGUGUACCGGCCCUUUCGCCUUUCUUGCCGGGUAUGCGUUCCUUGCCUUUAUUGGCUGGGAUCCAGAGUCGGCGCUGUUACUUUGAAAAAAWUAGAGUGUUCAAAGCAGGCCUGUGUUCUGGACAUAUUAGCAUGGAAUAACGCGAUAGGACUUCGAUCCUAUUUCAUUGGUGUUCGGGAUUGGAGUAAUGAUUAAUAGAGACAGUUGGGGGCAUUCGUAUUCCAUUGUCAGAGGUGAAAUUCUUGGAUUUAUGGAUGACGAACUUCUACGAAAGUAUUUGCCAAGGAUGUUCUCAUUAAUCAAGAACGAAAGUCGGGGGAUCGAAGACGAUCGGAUACCGUCCUAGUGUGAACCAUAAACGAUGCCCACUGGGGAUUGGCGGAUGUCUAUURGAUGACUCUGCCAGCACCUUGUGAGAAAUCGAAGUUUACGGGUUCCGGGGGGAGUAUGGUCGCAAGGCUGAAACUUAAAGGAAUUGACGGAAGGGCACCACCAGGCGUGGAGCUUGCGGCUUAAUUUGACUCAACACGGGGAAACUCAYCAGGUCCAGACAUAGCAAGGAUUGACAGAUUGAGAGCUCUUUCUUGAUUCUAUGGGWGGUGGUGCAUGGCCGUUCUUAGUUGGUGGAGUGAUUUGUCUGGUUAAUUCCGUUAACGAACGAGACCUCAGCCUGCUAAAUAGCUACGCGGGGACCUUUCCUCGUAGCCAGCUUCUUAGAGGGACUGUUGGAAGACUAGCCAACGGAAGUUUGAGGCAAUAACAGGUCUGUGAUGCCCUUAGAUGUUCUGGGCCAAAUGCGCGCUACACUGAUGAAUCCAACGAGAUGCUUGCUUGGGUCAAAAGGCCCGGGUAACCUUCUUAAGGUUCAUCGUGACGGGGAUAGAUUGUUGUAAUUAUCGAUCUAGAACGAGGAAUGCCUAGUAAGCGCGAGUCAUCAGCUCUCGCUGAUUACGUCCCUGCCCUUUAUACACACACUCCUACCGAUUGAAUGGUCCGGUGAAGUGUCUGGAUUGAGGUGAUCUCGACUGUUUGCCGCUUGGGGUGCUGUGAGAAGUUCAUCGAACCUUAUCAUUUAGAGGAAGGAGAAGUCGUAACAAGGUUUUCGUAGGUGACCUGCGGAAG